rnacentral:rRNA from 1 species
CUCAGUAACGGCGAGUGAAGCGGCAACAGCUCAAAUUUGAAAUCUGGCCCCUUCGGGGUCCGAGUUGUAAUUUGCAGAGGGUGCUUUUGGUGUUGGCCGUGGUCUAAGUUCCUUGGAACAGGACGUCACAGAGGGUGAGAAUCCCGUACGUGGCCGCCGGCCCUCGCCUUGUAAAGCCCCUUCGACGAGUCGAGUUGUUUGGGAAUGCAGCUCUAAAUGGGAGGUAAAUUUCUUCUAAAGCUAAAUACCCGCCAGAGACCGAUAGCGCACAAGUAGAGUGAUCGAAAGAUGAAAAGCACUUUGGAAAGAGAGUGAAAAAGCACGUGAAAUUGUUGAAAGGGAAGCGCUUGCGGCCAGACGUGCCCGCGGUUGUUCAUCUGGGCUCUCGCCCGGUGCACUCCUCCGCGGGCAGGCCAGCAUCAGUUUGGGCGGUCGGACAAAGGUCUCUGUCACGUACCACCCCUCGGGGUGGCCUUAUAGGGGAGACGCAACACGGCCAGCCUGGACUGAGGUUCCGCGCAUCUGCUAGGAUGCUGGCGUAAUGGCAGCAAGCGGCCCGUCUUGAAACACGGACCAAGGAGUCUAACAUCUAUGCGAGUGUUUGGGUGUCAAGCCCGAGCGCGUAAUGAAAGUGAACGGAGGUGGGAACCCCUCGGGGCGCACCAUCGACCGAUCCUGAUGUCUUCGGAUGGAUUUGAGUAAGAGCAUAGCUGUUGGGACCCGAAAGAUGGUGAACUAUGCCUGAAUAGGGUGAAGCCAGAGGAAACUCUGGUGGAGGCUCGCAGCGGUUCUGACGUGCAAAUCGAUCGUCAAAUUUGGGCAUAGGGGCGAAAGACUAAUCGAACCAUCUAGUAGCUGGUUCCUGCCGAAGUU